rnacentral:rRNA from 1 species
UACGUAGGGGGCAAGCGUUGUCCGGAAUCAUUGGGCGUAAAGAGCGUGUAGGCGGCUCGGUAAGUCCGCUGUGAAAGUCAGGGGCUCAACCCCUGGAUGCGGGUGGAUACUGCUGGGCUAGAGUCCGGAAGAGGUGAGUGGAAUUCCUGGUGUAGCGGUGAAAUGCGCAGAUAUCAGGAGGAACACCAAUGGCGAAGGCAGCUCACUGGGACGGUACUGACGCUGAGACGCGAAAGCGUGGGGAGCGAACAGG